GUCAAAUUUCUCUAAGUUUACUGACCUCAUAGUUUUCCCUUUUAGAUUCACUUGACGCUGUUAGGUUAUAAUAAUAAAAAAUAAAAAAUUAACUAACCCUUUUAAAACUAUGAAUAGAGAAGAAAGUGAAUAUUAAUUAAUUAUUUUAAUUAGAUAUUCAAAUUAGUUUGUAUUAAACAUAAAAUUUUAACAAUAUUAAUUUUGAACGAGCGUGAUACAUAGUAAUAAAUUUAAAGAUAGUAAAUUAUCAAUUUAGUCCUUUUAAUUAGUUUAUUAAAACUAAAGAGAGUUUCGAUAUAUAAUGAAAUAAAUACAAAU
rnacentral:lncRNA from 1 species